CUGAGAUCGCAUCACUGCACUCCAGCCUGAAUGACAGAGUGAGACAGUCUCAAAAAACAAACAAACAAAACCCAACUUUGGGUCACGCAUCCAUCCUUGACCAAUUAGCUGUAGCUAGGGAAGUGGAGUCCUACGGACACAGCAAACCACCACGAGAAUCAUGGAGAUGAAUAGGGGCAGGAUAAUUUACCAGAGGAAGCCUAGAGUGGAGUGCUGGACAGACCACCAUGUGGAGUUGCCAUCUGAGGACAUUGCUACUUGGAUACCCCCACAGGACGCCCAGCCAGGCAUGAUGACUCACAUCUGUAAUCCCAGCACUUUGGGAGGCUGAGGCAAGAGGAUUGAGGCCAAGAGUUCAAGACCAGCCGGGGAAGCAUAUCCAGCCGAGCUGCCAUCUCUUCAAGGAAGUUUUCCCUGAAGCCCUCAGGUAGACCCGUUUUUCCAUGGCGGCCACAUCAGCAUGCAGCACAUUUAAUUGGAAGUCUCCACAUAUGAGUUGGUUUUCCUUACUUAAAAUAUGCUUAUCAUCCCUUGGAGCACUUGAAAAUAUUGGCUAUUUCCUUCUGACCCCCAUGGUUUCUUUUAAAAAAUUUGCUGUUGUUUGAAUUAUUUUUCUCUACAGGUAUUGACUGCUGCCUCAUGAAGGCUGGUCCUGUCUCUAUAGUGAAUAUUGUGCACCUCAGGGUAGAAUGGAGAGCAGAAGACUUCAAAUCAGGCAGUCUGGGUUCAGACCCCAAUUCUAGUGCUAAAUAGCUACGUGACUUUAGGCCGAUUGUGUGUGACUUCCCUGAGCCCCAGUCUCUUUGCCUGCAAAAUGAGAAAAAUUAUAACAAUGUCAUCGGUUGUUCUGAGGAUUCUGAGAGGAAUUAGUAGGAGAGAGAACUAAGAAGCUGCGGGCCUCUACAGAGCCAUUCAACUGGCAUUUCGGAAGAUGUUGCCCAUCAGAGUCAGACCUUCUUAGCAUCUUCCGGCUGGGCCCAAACUUCCCAAGACCAUUUGGACAAGGUCAUCUCUAUCCCACCAUGGCCUCCUCCCAGAGGAGGAGAAGAAUCAUGCUGUUACAGCAGAACCGAAGAUUUGGGCAAGGGAGCUAAUGAUUAUGUUCUGCGUCAGGUCAGAGAUGGGCUGGGAAAGCCACUCCAAAGCCAAGACAAGCAGUUUCCUGGAAAAAGAAGGCUGCGCGGAGCCCAGAGUGGCCUGGAUCCUGCCUCAUUUCCUGGACCAGCUCCUUAGGUGGUUACUGGAUUGCCAAUAAAGCAGAGCUUAUUAAAGUCAACGAGCUCAGGCUUCAUCGCCGCCAUGGUAUCCAAGCACCAGUCUGUCUGGGAUUUCAUUUGCCAGAUGGACAAAGGAGAGGUUGUUCCAAUACAUAUCCUGAGUGGUGGGGGUGGGGAGAGAAGGGGAAGAAUGCUCUCUAGAGAAUUCUCUUUGUCCUCUGAAGUAAAUAGAGAUCAUGUCUUCCCCAGCCACACUCAGUGAUCUGAAUCUCUUGGACUGUGGAUUUUUCCUUUACCUGCUGUGAAGCCUUGAAAAGUAUGAAUUAGCUUGAUAAUGAUCCUCUAAAGAUGUUCAAGAGUUAAAGACGUGUUUAAGUUCUUCAGGCAAUCCAAUAUGACUACGGGUUUCCAAAAAUUUGAAGGAAACUGAAAAUCAUAGUUCCCAAACCAGAUAUUUUCCGGUGUCCAGAUGUUCACUGGCAUGCAAACCAAAUGUCUGGAUUAUGAGCUCCUUUUUUCAUUUCUUUUUAUCAGCUUACAUCCAGAUGUUGGAUCCAACUGGUCAGAGGCCUGGGGCAGAGACAGAAAUCAAAUCUAGGGUGUUCAUCUAGAGUCUCCUGCUCCUCCAUUCCUGCUUCCUCCUCACGCUGCCCCCACAUCCUCCCCAACUCACCUUCAUGCUACAUCUCGGCAAAUACAGCUCAUAUCCAGGCACGGUGCAGCCCUUGACAGCUGGGUCCGCAAAGGCAGAUCGGGUAUAUCUUUAAAGAAAAGUUAUCUUAACCAUUGAGAAGCCUUCCUUCCUCAGAGGAGAGCACCUCCCCAGCAGACCUCCGAGGAGACCAAGGGCAGGACAGGAAGGGUGAAAGGAAGUUUCAGGACUGCAGGAAAUAAGAGCUUGGAGGUCAAGGGAGAGAUCAGAUAAAACAUGAAUCUGAUCAGCAUCCUAGUGGUCUAGAGUGGAGACAAUCUGCGGAGUCAACCUCAGUAAGGACACACAUAGAGAAGAACCAAAGCCUCUAAAGACGAAGCUGAGAAGUGUACGGUCGUAGAAGACUCGUGUCUGUUAUUCUUAAAAGCUCAAGGAGAUGUUCUGCCAAUUGAAUGGAAACUGUCCAUAGUGGGGAGCAGAGAGCCUCAUCUUUUCUGGAACUGAACAUCCAUCCUUAAGGCCAGAUUUCUCCCAUCACCAACUUUAACUCCUGCCCUAGCCCUCUCUCUUCCUUUUCAAAACCCUCUCCACCCAGGAAGGGAGAUUCUGGAGCCAAGACUGUACCAGCCACACCUCCCCAGAGUUGUUAAGGAAGGAACUCGAAGCCAGGGGUGGUCUUCUGGCAAGCACCCCCACUACCAGUAGCAGGACAGAUGUGUUUCUAAUGGACUACACUAUCCCCGGAGGUCACAUGAUUCAGGCUGCCAAGGGUACCUGCCCUUGGGAAAUCAACUCCCGAAGAUAAAUUGGGAUUGGGUCCUGAGAAGAUCCAUGGAAGCCCAGAGGACCCUGCCUCUCUCUGUUGCUUCAUGCUGUAGAGGCAGUACUGGGGAGGGCCUGCCCCACAUCCGGCAGGGCAGCUGGAACCAUGUGUUUGAUGACACUCUGCUCCCUCAAUGUGGAGCCUCAUCCUCAUCUCACAGUCUAGCAGGCCUCUGGUGGGUUAGGCUUGUCUCACCCAGUGUGUGAGUUUUUUUGGAAGUGACCUGAUUUUGGAGUUUCCCUCCAAGCCUUUCUCAGGUACAUGCUUUCUCUUUUAUUCUGUCUUCUUUUUUUGAUCUUCUUAAAUCUGAUUUUCUCCUUUUUCCCUCUCUUGUCUCCAUCUUUUUUCCAGUCUCUCGCUUCUCUUUAUUUCUCCCCAUAUUUCACUCUGUUCUCUCACCCCAACCUUUCCCUUCUGUUUCUCUCCCUCCCUCUCUUCCCACCCCCUGCCUGGCCUUCCAUAUAUCAAGCAGAGUUUUAUCACCUUAUGCAGGGGCAGCCCUGCCACCUGCCAUAAAGUUGAUAGGCUAAUGACAUUUUGUGGAUAUUGCCAUGUCACAAGUCCAGGACAGCAUCAAAAAUAGCCCUGAUGUCUAAACCACUUCAGCUAUCUUUUUUAUUUUUAAAAUAAAUACAUUCACAUGCUUUUAAGAAACUAUAAAAAUAUAUAAAGUAAAAAGAUCUUUCUCUCACACUGUCUCCACCUCUCCUGGUCUCACCGUUGUGCUUAGGGGAAACCAUUGUGAUUAGUUUCUCCUGUGUCCUUCCAGAGUGUCUUUAUGCAAAUGAAAAUUAUUGUGAUAAUAUAUUCCUAUUUUCCCCCUUACUACACAAAAGAUAGACUACCAUAAUCCCAUUCUGCACUUUUUUUUCACUUGAUAAUAAAAACAUGAUUUUAUUAAUGGG
rnacentral:lncRNA from 1 species